rnacentral:rRNA from 1 species
AGAGGCCCAAGUUGAUAGACACCGGCGUAAAGCGUGGUUAAGAUUCUUGCAAAACUAAAGCCGAACACCUUCAGAGCUGUUAUACGCACCCGGAGGCAUGAAGACCAACAACGAAAGUGGCUUUACAACCCUGAACCCACGAAAGCUACGACACAAACUGGGAUUAGAUACCCCACUAUGCCUAGCCGUAAACAUUGGUAAUACAGCACAUUUAUUACCCGCCAGGGAACUACAAGCAUUA